GACGAACGCUGGCGGCGUGCCUAACGCAUGCAAGUCGAACGGAAGUAAGUGCUUCGGUAUUUACUUUAGUGGCGAACGGGUGAGUAACGCGUGAGGAACCUGCCUUUCAGUGGGGGACAACAGUUGGAAAUGACUGCUAAUACCGCAUAAGCGCACAGUGCCGCAUGGCGCCGUGUGAAAAACUCCGGUGGUAUGAGAUGGACCCGCGUCUGAUUAGCUGGUUGGUGGGGUAACGGCCCACCAAGGCGACGAUCAGUAGCCGACCUGAGAGGGCGACCGGCCACAUUGGGACUGAGACACGGCCCAA
rnacentral:rRNA from 1 species